GCCUCAAGUGAUAGGCUGCUGCUCUUUGCUGGUUUCUUCNGAUUUCAGAAGCUAAGCAGGAUGCAGAAGUGGUCUGUACUUGGGUGAGAGGCCACCUGGAAAUACAAGGUGCUGUAAGCC
rnacentral:rRNA from 1 species